rnacentral:lncRNA from 1 species
GUUCGUCAGAAAGAUCGUCCCCCAUGGCAUGACUUGGAGCCUUUAGCAUCAGAUUCAUUGCAACAUUUUGAUUUAUCCACUCAACGGGGUCGAGUUUGUCUCCCACCCCAGGAGAGUUGAUGCGGACAUCCACUUACUAUUUAUUUUCUUUUUGGACUAUUAGUUAUAAUCUAUUUGGAUUAUUAUUUAUAUUUCUGUUAUUGGGCUUGUUUAGUGGGUUUGGCCCAAGCCCUUCUCUUUAGGGUUUGUGUUUUACUAUUUAUUUCUGUUUUGUUUCUCAUUUGAGACAGUUGAUGAUGGAUGAAUAAUUAUGUUGGUGGCUUAUGGCGC